CCUACGGGUGGCAGCAGUGGGGAAUAUUGCGCAAUGAGCGAAAGCCUGACGCAGCGACGCCGCGUGGGGGAUGAAGGUCUUCGGAUCGUAAACCACUGUCAGCGGGGAAGAAAGGUAACAGUGCUAAUCAGCAGUGAAUUGACGGUACCUGCAAAGGAAGCACCGGCUAACUCCGUGCCAGCAGCCGCGGUAAUACGGAGGGUGCGAGCGUUAAUCGGAAUUACUGGGCGUAACGCGCGCGUAGGCGGUAUGUCAAGUCAAUGGUGAAAUCCCCGGGCUCAACGUGGGAACUGCCUUUGAAACUGGCAGACUGGAGUGUGUGAGAGGGUAGUGGAAUUCCAGGUGUAGCAGUGAAAUCCGUAGAUAUCUGGAGGAACAUCAGUGGCGAAGGCGGCUAUCUGGCACAUAACUGACGCUGAGGAGCGAAAGCGUGGGUAGCAAACAGGAUUAGAUACCCUGGUAGUC
rnacentral:rRNA from 1 species